rnacentral:rRNA from 1 species
CCUACGGGUGGCUGCAGUGGGGAAUUUUGGACAAUGGGGGCAACCCUGAUCCAGCCAUGCCGCGUGCGGGAAGAAGGCCUUCGGGUUGUAAACCGCUUUCGGCCGGAACGAAAUCGCCGGGGAGAACAUCCCCGGUGGAUGACGGUACCGGAAGAAGAAGCACCGGCUAACUACGUGCCAGCAGCCGCGGUAAUACGUAGGGUGCGAGCGUUGCUCGGAAUGUGCGGGGGCGAAGCGCUAAGACACGGUUGAAAUCCCCGGGCUUAACCUGGGAACUGCGUUUGUGACUGGCGGGCUGGAGUGCGGAAGAGGGAGGUGGAAUUCCACGUGUAGCAGUGAAAUGCGUAGAGAUGUGGAGGAACACCGAUGGCGAAGGCAGCCUCCUGGUCUAGCACUGACGCUCAUGCACGAAAGCGUGGGGAGCAAACAGGAUUAGAUACCCGGGUAGUC